CUGGCGGCGUGCCUAAUACAUGCAAGUAGAACGCUGAAGAGAGGAGCUUGCUCUUCUUGGAUGAGUUGCGAACGGGUGAGUAACGCGUAGGUAACCUGCCUUGUAGCGGGGGAUAACUAUUGGAAACGAUAGCUAAUACCGCAUAACAAUGGAUGACACAUGUCAUUUAUUUGAAAGGGGCAAUUGCUCCACUACAAGAUGGACCUGCGUUGUAUUAGCUAGUAGGUGAGGUAAUGGCUCACCUAGGCGACGAUACAUAGCCGACCUGAGAGGGUGAUCGGCCACACUGGGACUGAGACACGGCCCAGACUCCUACGGGAGGCAGCAGUAGGGAAUCUUCGGCAAUGGGGGCAACCCUGACCGAGCAACGCCGCGUGAGUGAAGAAGGUUUUCGGAUCGUAAAGCUCUGUUGUAAGUCAAGAACGGGUGUGAGAGUGGAAAGUUCACACUGUGACGGUAGCUUACCAGAAAGGGACGGCUAACUACGUGCCAGCAGCCGCGGUAAUACGUAGGUCCCGAGCGUUGUCCGGAUUUAUUGGGCGUAAAGCGAGCGCAGGCGGUUUGAUAAGUCUGAAGUUAAAGACUGUGGCUCAACCAUAGUUCGCUUUGGAAACUGUCAAACUUGAGUGCAGAAGGGGAGAGUGGAAUUCCAUGUGUAGCGGUGAAAUGCGUAGAUAUAUGGAGGAACACCGGUGGCGAAAGCGGCUCUCUGGUCUGUAACUGACGCUGAGGCUCGAAAGCGUGGGGAGCGAACAGGAUUAGAUACCCUGGUAGUCCACGCCGUAAACGAUGAGUGCUAGGUGUUGGAUCCUUUCCGGGAUUCAGUGCCGCAGCUAACGCAUUAAGCACUCCGCCUGGGGAGUACGACCGCAAGGUUGAAACUCAAAGGAAUUGACGGGGGCCCGCACAAGCGGUGGAGCAUGUGGUUUAAUUCGAAGCAACGCGAAGAACCUUACCAGGUCUUGACAUCCCGAUGCUAUUUCUAGAGAUAGAAAGUUACUUCGGUACAUCGGUGACAGGUGGUGCAUGGUUGUCGUCAGCUCGUGUCGUGAGAUGUUGGGUUAAGUCCCGCAACGAGCGCAACCCCUAUUGUUAGUUGCCAUCAUUCAGUUGGGCACUCUAGCGAGACUGCCGGUAAUAAACCGGAGGAAGGUGGGGAUGACGUCAAAUCAUCAUGCCCCUUAUGACCUGGGCUACACACGUGCUACAAUGGUUGGUACAACGAGUUGCGAGUCGGUGACGGCGAGCUAAUCUCUUAAAGCCAAUCUCAGUUCGGAUUGUAGGCUGCAACUCGCCUACAUGAAGUCGGAAUCGCUAGUAAUCGCGGAUCAGCACGCCGCGGUGAAUACGUUCCCGGGCCUUGUACACACCGCCCGUCACACCACGAGAGUUUGUAACACCCGAAGUCGGUGAGGUAACCUUUUGGAGCCA
rnacentral:rRNA from 1 species